UGAACGAAACAAAAUACAGUUUGUAUGAUAGUCUAUGAAUUUUGUAUUUUUAUAGCAGCUAAAUCGUAUAAUUGUUUAAGAAAACGUAAUUUUGCGUAACUGCAUUUUUUCUGUUUCUCGGACCACUUAAAUACUUUUUUAAGAGCAUUGAAUGCUUCCAAGUGAGAAGGUACUUCUUCAAAAUUAUUUUCACAGUGUACUAUCAUCGAUUUGCAUCUAGGAACUGAUUUUUUACAUCGAGAAACUAAAAUUUUCUUUUGUACCAAUGCUUUUUGUAUUAGGCUUUUAUUAUUUUCAUUAUAGGAAUCUUAUCUGUUGCAACUUUGUUUCCACCAGCACCUAUUUUUUGGAUACCAUGACACAAUAUAAAUGAUAUUUUCAUUUGAUCAGAAAAUUGUGUAGAAUACAUACACUCGACACACAAGAACAUUGUUUGAACAGAAUGUUCCGAUAAUCAGGGCUUUAACAUGCAAGAUUCAAUUGCUGUUUUAUUGAUGCCAGAUAAAAAUAAUUAUACAUUAUAUCAUACACAAAAAUAGUAACAUUUUAAAAUUAUAUAUAUCAUAUAAUUUAUAUUUUCAAUUUAAUACUCUUAGCUUAUAUCAUUGUAUUACAAUAAUAUGAAUAUAUUUUUAUUUAAUAAUGACAAUCCAUUAGAAGAUUACCAGCUUGAUCUUUAAGUCUUACUCUACCAUUAGAAUAACGUGUCUCUUGUAUACCAUCUGGAUAAAUCAAUUUAACUGUACCAUCAGGAUAUUCUCGUCUCUAGAAAAAAAAAUAUAUUUCUAUGUUUAAUUUUAUUUUUAACAGGAUUGACAACAAAUUAUUAAUAUUAAAUAAAUGGUUUAAUUCAUUGUAA